rnacentral:sRNA from 1 species
CUGUGCAUUUUGUUGAUUAGAUUUUGUCAUAUUUGAUUG